rnacentral:rRNA from 1 species
GACGAACGCUGGCGGCGUGCUUAACACAUGCAAGUCGAACGGAAAGGCCCUGCUUUUGUGGGGUGCUCGAGUGGCGAACGGGGGAGUAACACGUGAGUAACCGGCCCUUGACUUUGGGAUAACUUCAGGAAACUGGGGCUAAUACCGGAUAGGAGAUCCUGCUGCAUGGUGGGCGUUGGAAAGUUUCGGCGGUUGGGGAUGGACUCGCGGGUGAUCAGCUUGUUGGUGGGGUAGUGGCUUACCAAGGCUUUGACGGGUAGCCGGCCUGGGAGGGUGACCGGCGACAUUGGGACUGAGGUACGGCCCAGACUCCUACGGGAGGCAGCAGUGGGGAAUAUGGCACAAUGGGCGGAAGCCUGAUGCAGCAGCGCCGCGUGCGUGAUGACGGCCUUCGGGUUGUAAACCGCUUUCGCCUGUGACGAAGCGUGAGUGACGGUAAUGGGUAAAGAAGCACCGGCUAACUACGUG